AGUAAAUUGGUUAAGUUAGAAAGGGCGCACGGUGGAUGCCUUGGCACUAGGAGCCGAAGAAGGACGGGACUAACACCGAUAUGCUUUGGGGAGCUGUACGUAAGCGUUGAUCCAGAGAUUUCCGAAUGGGGGAACCCACUAUCUUUAGUCGGAUAGUAUCCUUACGUGAAUACAUAGCGUAAGGAAGGCAGACCCAGGGAACUGAAACAUCUAAGUACCUGGAGGAAGAGAAAGAAAAAUCGAUUUCCUGAGUAGCGGCGAGCGAAACGGAAAGAGCCCAAACCAAGAAGCUUGCUUCUUGGGGUUGUAGGACACUCUAUACGGAGUUACAAAAGAAAGUUAUAAAUGAAGCGGUCUGGAAAGGCCCGCCAAAGACGGUAACAGCCCGGUAGUUGAAAUGGCUUUCCCUCCAGAGUGGAUCCUGAGUACGGCGGAACACGUGAAAUUCCGUCGGAAUCCGGGAGGACCAUCUCCCAAGGCUAAAUACUCCCUAGUGACCGAUAGUGAACCAGUACCGUGA
rnacentral:rRNA from 1 species